GACAGAGGCCACAAGCGUUGGGCGGAAUCACUGGGCUUAAAGCGUGUGUAGGCGGAUCGUUAAGUGCCUUGUGAAAUCCCACAGCUUAACUGUGGAACUGCUUGGCAUACUGGCGGUCUUGAGCCAUCUAGGGGUUGCUGGAACAAACGGUGGAGCGGUGAAAUGCGUAGAUAUCGUUUGGAACGCCAAUGGUGAAAACAGGCAACUGGGGAUGUGCUGACGCUGAGACACGAAAGCCAGGGGAGCAAACGGG
rnacentral:rRNA from 1 species